GAUGGGGGUGAAAUGCGAAAACACCAGUGUGCUUAGAUUUAGGUGCACGUUAAAGAACCCCAGGUGGUCAAAAUUUCCGGAGUCCUCCACUACGGUGUGCCUCAUAAUCAGAAAGUGGUUUUGGCACGUAAAACCCCAUAAUUAA
rnacentral:lncRNA from 1 species